AGGACACAAAUAUUUACCCAGUACAGAGGGGGGAAGGGCAGCUAGACCUGAGCUUCCCAGACCUGGAGACAGACCUAACUCCCAGUCAAGACCCAAGUUGCUCACCAAGGGCUCCCAGCCCUGACCAGAGCCUUAAAUCUCCCAGUAGAACCACUCAGCUCUGUAAGACAGCUCAUGAUAAAUCUCUAUAAGGAAGUCAGAGAUGAAAACUAGGAAUCUGGGGAAUGGGUCAACUAAGAAAGAGGAUGAAGUCCUGCACUGGACAGCAGAAAUCAGCGAGGAAGAAUGUUCCCCUGCAGGUGGGAAUCACACACCGCACAAUUUCCCAGCCUCAACCCGCCCCCAAGGGGUAAACGCCAGUCCUGCAUCCUCUCUGAACACGAACCCUUCGUCCCCAACCUCUCGUGCGCUUGCGCAGGACUAGAGCGGCGCGAAACCAAAGUCGCAAGGACUAAGACUUCAUUCCCCAGAAGCCUCCGUUCAUGCAGACUCGCUUUCCCAGAAGCCACUCUGUCAAGAACACACUUCCCCUCUGCCCCCGCUCUCUCGCCAAUGCUUCCAGGUUCUCGCCCUAGAUGUUCCCAGCUCUUCCAUGACUUGAGGGAAAACAGUUGGGAGUCUGGAAGGGUCGGAACCUUUGGAGGCCUAUGGGAGAAUUCUGAGCGAAAGGAGCGGGGCCUACAUAGAAGGUGGGGGGGCAGAAAGGCGGAGCCAAUCCUUGAUCUCCGAGCGGGAGGGCCCGCGCCUGGGCUGGGGCGGGUUCUUCGGCCUACAUUGUGCCUUUGCAAGGUUACUGUGGGUAGGGUUUGGAUUUCUGGGAGGCCUUUAUCCAGUGGGGUGCGUGGGAGGGGCAGGAAGCCGGGGUCAGCAUUAGCAGACCCCUCUUAGAGGUUAUACGAGUUUGGCCUUUAAAUUAUACAGUUGGGGAAACCGGUGUCCACAGAGGCCUUUUCUUUCGCCAGGCCCUUUGGACUGUCUAAAAAACCUUACCUACGGUGGAAGCCUUAC